rnacentral:rRNA from 1 species
UACGUAGGGUGCAAGCGUUAAUCGGAAUUACUGGGCGUAAAGCGUGCGCAGGCGGUUCGCUAAGACAGAUGUGAAAUCCCCGGGCUUAACCUGGGAACUGCAUUUGUGACUGGCGGGCUAGAGUAUGGCAGAGGGGGGUAGAAUUCCACGUGUAGCAGUGAAAUGCGUAAAGAUGUGGAGGAAUACCGAUGGCGAAGGCAGCCCCCUGGGCCAAUACUGACGCUCAUGCACGAAAGCGUGGGGAGCAAACAGG